AUUGAAAUCGGAUGUAUAAUCGGUUUAUAAAAAAAUGGAUCUUUAAUGUUGGUUUUAAACCGACAUUAAAGAUAGGCUACAAUGUUGAUUUAAAACUAACUUAGAGGUCCCCAGGUAUUUUUUUAACUUUAGUAAAAAAAACUCUCUUUCAUUUCACUGCCUUUCUUCUCUCUCAUUUCUCACUUCUCUCUUACAAACCCUCUCUUACCCUUGACCGUACCAAGAAGUCGCUCGCCAUCCGAUCGUCUAUUUUUCGUCCAGAUCUGGUUGUUCGCGUGCCAGUCCGUCGUGGGGUUCAGUGGAAGUGGGUCACGUGUUGUCCAACUCACCGUCCGGUCAUCUAUUUGUCGUCCAUAUCUGGUUAUUCGUGUAACGGUCCAUCGUGGGUUCAGUGGAGGUGGGUCGUGUGACGUCCAACUCGCCGUCCGGUUGUCUAUUUUUCAUCCAGAUCUAGUUGUUCGUGUGUCGAUCCAUCGUGGGGUUCAGUGGAGGUGGGUCGCCGGUCGUCGGAUCUGGUAGUUCAGCUCGCCGUCCAGCUUAUUCGGGUCGUGGAGUUGGGUUGCCGGCAUUGGAUCUAAAGAUUUAGUCGUGGGUCAUGAAGGUGGGUUGUCGGCGUUCGGUCGUCUGAGUCGUGGGCUUUUCCGAUCUGUAGAGGUGGGUCGCCGACAUUCGGGUCAUUCGGGUCGUCCGAGUCGUGGAGGUGGUCGCUAGCCUUGGAUCAGAUCUGUUUUUUUAGGUUUCUUUUUACUGAUUUUUCCUUAUUUGUUCAUAAUAUAAUAAAGUUCUUGAUCUCAUCUUGUUUUGUGAUAACAUAGUAUUUUUUUUUUCCUUCUUUUUACUGAUUUUUUUUCCUUCUUAGACCUGUUGGGGUUCCAUUCAAGUUGUUGAUUUCAUCUUGUAAGGGUACACUUAUUUCUCUUCCAUUUUUCUUUCAAUUUGUGAGUUUAAUUUCUUUUCUAAUUGAAGGAAUUUGGUUUUAUUGUUCAACGAUGUGUUAUUUAUCUGAAUAUCAGGAGAUUUCCAGUUUGUGUGCGAAGCCUUGUGAAUGAGAAGAUAUCUUCACUAUGGUUUUUGUCAUUAAGAAGUUUGGGGUGCUUUGUUCUCGAUUCACUAAUGAGGAGUUUUUCCAAAUGAGAUGCAAAUGUACUCUUUAAAAUAUUCUGCUUAGUUAUACUAAAAUAUUCAUGAAUAAUUAUGGAAGUCAAGUAGAAAAGCUUAGAAAUUGAGACAAAAAAAAAUGCUACUUCACAAUGAGAAUUCCUACUAAGUGCUAGCUUAUUUUCGCUAAUAUCAAAGAAUAAGGACGUUUAUUUUCAUUAUCAUGGUUGUCAAAAUAUUGAUAAGAUAUAGAGAAAUGAUAUAUAAUCUUGUCGUAUCUAUCUUCGACACUGGUAUGUAAUUUGCAGUAUAUCUUAUGUGUCCCCAAGCAAAUAUUUUCCUAUAAUAGCAACAACGUUCAAUAUGAAACUUAGAAAUAAGGAUUUAUUUAAUUUGUUUUAAAGUUCAUUGCUAUAUAUUAUAUCUAUAGAAGUUGUGACCAACAUACAACUUCUUUCCUUUCCUUUCCUUUGUUUUGUUCUUCUAUUUGGAAUUUUCUUAACACUCUUAGGCGAAGUGCUUGAAAAAUGGGGAGACUUUUUCCAUAAAGAAAAUCUUGUAGGACAGACGUUAUAUUAUGUGAAAUACUUGUAAGUGCAAAUCUUUUAUGAGUUUAUUUUAAAGAAUACUAUUGUGAUUUUGCUUUGGAUCAUUAGUGAAUGCAAUUACCAAUAUUAAGUCUAACUUAUGGGAUAAAGAGGGAUUGACAAGAAGAUCCAUGUGUGCCAGUGGAAUUCCCUUGGAGUGGUUUGAAUUGUAGUAAUGCAACUAAUUCAAGAAUCAUUUACUUGUGGGAGAAUAGUCCCUAGCUCCAGAAAUUGACAUCAGAAAACUUAGGACGACAUCAUUUAACACUAUUCAUUUAUCUUCAGCUUAUUUUUAAUCAUUUUAACUAUUUUGUAAUUCAUUUAUUUUGAAUGUUAUUCUUGUGUGCAACUUAAUAUGUAUACUCUACUUG